GGGGCUCGACUUAUUGUUUGGGUAAAGGUGGAUGGGAUAGCGGCGGAAACAAUCAAACAACGACGGGGCGGUUGAAACUACGACCACGAAUACACUAAACUAACAAGACUUAACAACGGACACAAACUGAACAAAGCGAAUCUGAAACGAAAAUUGCAAAGGCUAAAAAGGAGGGGAAAGUGUAAAUAUCUUUAGGCUUUUUGUGGACUAUAGGUGUUGGACACGAACUGAAUCUAAAGGGGAAACACGAUAGUAUACCUCAUGGGUAAUCUGGAAUCCUGAUACCACUUGAUGUAGCACUGGCCCGAUCUUCCGAAAGGUAGUGAUAAAUUCGAUUGGUGGAGACUCGACAUUGACGAUCCAAGCUUCUAAUCAGAAACAAUUAGAAUCCCUGCAACCACUACACCACUACUCCGAUGGUUAUCAACCAAGCACAACUUGAUUGACCUUGCUAAGAAGGCUUUCCCUACAAGGGAAUCGGAAAACACAAGCAAGAAGGUAUAAACACGCAAUCUAAAAUUGCAAAUAUGAAUGAAG
rnacentral:lncRNA from 1 species